rnacentral:rRNA from 1 species
GCAUAUCAAUAAGCGGAGGAAAAGAAACUAACAAGGAUUCCCCUAGUAACGGCGAGUGAAGCGGGAAAAGCUCAAAUUUGUAAUCUGGCGCCUUUGGCGUCCGAGUUGUAAUCUCGAGAAGUAUUUUCCGCGCUGGACCGCACAUAAGUCUGUUGGAAUACAGCGUCAUAGUGGUGAGAACCCCGUAUAGGGUGCGGAUGCCCAGUGCUUUGUGAUAUACUUUCGAAGAGUCGAGUUGUUUGGGAAUGCAGCUCAAAUUGGGUGGUAAAUUCCAUCUAAAGCUAAAUAUUGGCGAGAGACCGAUAGCGAACAAGUACCGUGAGGGAAAGAUGAAAAGCACUUUGGAAAGAGAGUUAACAGUACGUGAAAUUGUUGGAAGGGAAACGCUUGAAGUCAGACUUGCAUUUUGGAGUUCAGCCGUAAGGUGUAUUCUUCAAUUCGCAGGCCAGCAUCAGUUUUUGGGGGUGGAAAAUCGUGGUUUGAAGGUAGCAGUCUCGGCUGUGUUAUAGCUUUCCACUGGAUUCACUUUUGGGGACUGAGGAACGCAGUACGCUUUUUGCAAGAUUCUCGGAUCUUUCGUACUUAGGAUGCUGGUGGAAUGGCUUUAAACGACCCGUCUUGAAACACGGACCAAGGAGUCUAACAUGUUUGCCAGUGUUUGGGUGUCAAACCCGGACGCGUAAUGAAAGUGAAUGGAGGUGGGAUCCGCAAGGUGCACCAUCGACCGAUCUGGAUUUUCUAAGAUGGAUUUGAGUAAGAGCAAUUAUGUUGGGACCCGAAAGAUGGUGAACUAUGCCUGAAUAGGGUGAAGCCAGAGGAAACUCUGGUGGAGGCUCGUAGCGGUUCUGACGUGCAAAUCGAUCGUCAAAUUUGGGUAUAGGGGCGAAAGACUAAUCGAACCAUCUAAAUGUUGCUUGGUGGUUAAUAGGGACUUCAAAGUAGAGCCCUAGUGGGAGUGGUAACUUGCGACACUUUCAAAUUGCGGGGACGCCCUUAGAGCUCUAAUUACGGCGGCUCAUCGAAAGAUAGAGUGCAGCAGCAGGUUAAUGGCCUCGCGGAUCGUAAAAACAUUAGAGAUUGGGUAAUCCGCAGCCAAGUCCUAAGUAGCGCCUUGGAGUCGCUAUAUGGAUGCAGUUCAUCGACUAAAUGGAAGUGGGUGUCCUUUCUUAACCGGAAGGGUGCUUGAGAUAUAGUCAGCCCCUCGUGAGAGCGAGCUAAUGGGACGAAGAUUCGAUUCGUUUUUACCACUAUAAACGACGUUUCCCGAGCCCAUUGGGGUCUAAUAAGAGGACAUAGUAAACCUCUUGAAGACUGGAUUACGUGCUAGUAGCUGGUUCCUGCCGAAGUUUCCCUCAGGAUAGCAGAAACUCACAUCAGUUCUAUGAGGUAAAGCGAAUGAUUAGAGGCCUUGGGGUUGAAACAACCUUAACCUAUU